rnacentral:lncRNA from 1 species
GGACCAAAAUGCCCUUGUUGGCUAAAUUGAACAAACAACCCUUAGAGUCUUGCCGUAAAAUAAUAAUCCGAAGGGUAAAACUCGGAACAUAUAGAUAUCCACAUUAAAUCCAACACACAUAGAGUUUUAGUUGAAGAUUACUUGAUAAGAAAUGUAGGAAUAAGAUGCUAGAAAUGAAUGAAAGCGAUUUCAAGCUUUAAAGUGCUUAAAUACCCUUAACGGGUCAAA